GCCCGUGUGGUGGAAUUGGUAGACGCAAGGGACUCAAAAUCCCUCGAAUGCAUAAUUCAUGCCGGUUCAAUUCCGGCCACGGGCACCA
rnacentral:tRNA from 1 species